rnacentral:lncRNA from 1 species
GUUUGUUGUUGGAAAGGCUGUGUCCAAACCCUCGCUGUUGCUAGAACUUCUGACACCUCCUUAUAUAGGGCUGGCUCCUGGGCUAGGCUGAGCGUGGUGUGUCCUCUUGAGAAUGUGAUGAUGCCGAGUGGUUACUUGUCUGUUUUGUUGUAGCUGCCUGACCUGGUGCACCAGUUGGGAACACUCUACCAGCUAAUGGAAAGCAGAGUCAAAACUUUCCAGAAGCUCUCACACCUGCAUGGGAAGCUCAUUCUUCUCGUCACGCAAGUUACAGCAUCAGAAAAGACGAAAAAAAUGCCCUCCCCUGGACUUAAGGCAAAAUUGGUGUAUGAAGAAGAGUCUUCUGAAGAGGAGUCUGACGAUGAAAUUCCAGAGAAGGAUUCUGAUGAUAAUUGGGAUGAGGAUGAAGAGAAAGACAGUGAGAAUGAUGAGGCUGUCGACGAAGACAGUGAGAAUGAUGAGGCUGUCGACGAGGAAGAUGAGGACAGAGAAGCGGCGAGUGAGAAAGAGUUGAAUGGAGAUUCGGAUUUAGAUCCUGAAAAUGAGAGUGAAGAAGAGUGAAGACAGACACAGCCAGUUACACAAGAAUCCUGGCUCGCCUUGCCCAGUGCUGUCUAUCGCGUCCUCCCAGGGAGGCUUGCCCAGUGCCAGCAGACAAGAGGCCACCAUAUGCUUCCAAUUCACUGAGGCGAUUCCCACACCUCCUUCCUGUCCUGAGUGCCCAGACUGUAACUGUGUAAAUAAGAGUGUUUCAUUCAAAUGUUAAUAAACUUUACACAGUAAAUAGACACACUUUCUGCAAUGUACUGACACGAGUGUCCAAUAUAUGGUAUAUUUUUAUAAUAUAAUACUCUAGUGUGCUUGGUUCUAUCGGAAACUGACUUGGGGGGUACAGACAUGCCAUAGGGGGCAGGAAUGGACGCUUGUGAAGGAGUCAGGUCUCGUCUCAGGUUAGUAUCUUUCAUUCGGUCCAAAUGCCAAGCAGCAUUAACGAAUUGUUUUUAAUCCGGCACGUCUCGUUUGAUACAUUUUCAUAAAAGAUGAAGGGAUAACUAAAAGUUCAAGUGAAAAUGGUGAUUUACAGAAAUAAAGUCACGGUCUCCCUAGCUUAGCACUCACUGUGAUCUGAUCCAGAUCUGUUUGGGUGGUUGGAGGGCUUCCCCAAAUAACCACUUAUUUUUUAAAGUGUCAUGUCAGAUAUUUUUUAAAACAAAACAAAAUAAUGGUAAUUAAAGAAGCAAAGCUUCAGCCAUGCUAAGGCUCUUGUCUGCAGACUGUAAAGGCUCAUCAGUACACAGAUGAGACCUGCUCAUCAUGCCAUUUGUAACCCUCUGUCCUAGCUGCUUUUGAAGGUUUCCAUUUUUAUUUAAAUGACUAAUGGAUCAGAGAACAAUUGUUUAUUUUUUUUUCUCUUUGGUUUUAGAUAAUAACCUUGCUGGAAUUUUUUUCCAAAGAGACUAUUUUUAUAAUUCAGUAAUUUAACAUUUUGGUUCCUUUUCAUUACCCGCUCUUAGCAGGGCUAGGGUAUCUGUUUAUCUUUCAAAAUGAUAAAUCUUACUCAAGAUUUUUUAUGUAUGUAUAAAUAAGUAUUUUGGUGUGCUACACAGCUUUUUCAAAUUACCAGUAAUUUGUCUUGUUUCUAAAGAGUGGGCCAGUACUAACUCGUUCAGUCAGGGGUGCAGAUGGAGAGCUGUCGUCUGCAGAAGGACUGAGCAGAUGCGAGGCUUUCCCACCUGUGACUAAGAAAAGUGCUCCCUGGGAGGACUUCCAUCAGGGACAGAGCAGGCUGCACAGCCGAAGCGGGAAGGGCAUCCUGGGCAAGCUGCUGGUGCGAUUGAUGUACAGUUGUUCUUUGUCUAUAAAUGGAGCUGUUUAUGGCAAUUUAAUACCAUUCUCUUUGUAAAGUGAAUAAAUGCUCAUCUUUACCCAGCGCGUGUCUCGUGGUGUGUAUAGAGAAUGUACAGCCAUGUGUUUGGGCUUAGGGAUCACGGUGUGAAGGGUUUUAAGGUGGUUUCACGCCUAGACUUCACAGGUAAAUACUUUAAGGUUUGCUGUGUAAUUACAUUUGCAACAGUAAAGCAAUUGGCAUGUUGUUUU